rnacentral:rRNA from 1 species
GACGAACGCUGGCGGCGUGCUUAACACAUGCAAGUCGAACGGAAAGGCCCCUUUGGGGGUACUCGAGUGGCGAACGGGUGAGUAACACGUGAGUAACCUGCCCUUGACUUCGGGAUAACUUCAGGAAACUGGGGCUAAUACCGGAUAGGAAUCCUUGCUGCAUGGUGGGGGUUGGAAAGCUUCGGCGGUUUUGGAUGGACUCGCGGCUUAUCAGCUUGUUGGUGGGGUAGUGGCUUACCAAGGAUUUGACGGGUAGCCGGCCUGAGAGGGCGACCGGCCACAUUGGGACUGAGAUACGGCCCAGACUCCUACGGGAGGCAGCAGUGGGGAAUAUUUCACAAUGGGCGGAAGCCUGAUGCAGCAACGCCGCGUGCGGGAUGACGGCCUUCGGGUUGUAAACCGCUUUCAGCAGGGGCGAAGCUUGUGGUGACGGUACCUGCAGAAGAAGCACCGGCUAACUACGUG